AGAGUUUGAUCCUGGCUCAGGAUGGACGCUAGCUACAGGCUUAACACAUGCAGGUCGAGGGGCAGCAUGUUGGUUGCUUGCAACCAACGAUGGCGACCGGCGCACGGGUGAGUAACGCGUAUCCAACCUACCCUUGUCCAUCGGAUAACCCGUCGAAAGGCGGCCUAACACGAUAUGCGGUUCACAGCAGGCAUCUAACGUGAACGAAAUGUGAAGGAGAAGGAUGGGGAUGCGUCUGAUUAGCUUGGUUGGCGGGGUAACGGCCACCAAGGCUACGAUCAGUAGGGGUUCUGAGAGGAACGGUCCCCCACAUUGGAACUGAGACACGGUCCAAACUCCGUACGGAGGCA
rnacentral:rRNA from 1 species